AAAAGCUUGAAGGACCAUCUCUGUGAAGUGGUUUUGGUGUUUUAACACUUCAAAGUAAAACAUUGCUAAUUAGUAACUGUAAUGUUUGCAUUGAAGGGUUAAUAACACUUCUAGUUGCCGUCUUCCUGAUAGCCACACAUAACUUUAUAUACCUCCAAACUCAUCUAAAUUAUAUGUUCAGAGAUUUGAUCCCAAUAUCGGUCAUUUAUUGGAAAGGGUGAAUGUUACAAAACAAAAUAUAUUCCCAAAACCGUUUCUAAAAGUCAGUUUGCAUUCGGUUCUUUGUCC